AUGUCCACCCAAGCCGUAGUCCAGAGGGCAUGCGCGAAGCUCAGAUCCGCCAUAGGAGAUGAAGCGGUGGCGCGGUUGAACUUUACCGCUGACCUGCGGGAUAUGUUGGAGGCGCUGGAUGACAUCCGGCCGAAGCUGGACAAAGCCGAGAUGCGGCCGUUGAGGGGUGUAGAUGAUUCGCCUUGGCUGCAGCUUGUCUGCUGCGCGGCCUACAAGACCAUAGAGACUGUCGACGAGCUGCAGGGCGCGAGAUCACAGGCUGCUGCAACGACGACAAGGAUGCUGCCCCGCCUUGCCAUGAAGAAUGCCAUGGCCAUCCAGCUGCAGGAGGCGAAACAACUAGUGAUGUGGGCACAGGAGCGUUCACGUGUGAGAUCAGAAUCUAUAGCAGAAAACACCUUGUUACAGGAAAUUAUUGAGGAACGAAAAACUGCACCAGUUUUCGAGGAAGCAAUGGUUCUGGGAAGAGCAUCAGAUAAAGACAGGAUAAUAGCCACCCUCCCAUGUACUGAGCCCAACAUCAUGCAAGAGCACAUCCGCAUUCUUCCCAUCUUUGGGUUUCCAGGCAGCGGCAAGACAACAUUGGCACAAAUGGUUGUUAAUGAUACCCACUCCCUCCAAGGCUACGACUUCCGUGUAUGGGUUCAUGUGUCUACCCAGCUCGACUUCCAUACAAUAGGCAAGUCCAUUAUUUGUCAAGUGUUAGGAAGGGGACAAGAAGAGAUCAACCAGUCUUCUUCAAAUGUGGAGGGGAUGGAGAUUAUAAUGAAGCGCCUUCACAAGCUUCUUAAUGGUCAGAAGGUGCUCCUUGUGUUGGAUGACUUGUGGGAGGAGGAUCCCAUUCAGUUACAGUUAUUGAAGUCCAUGUUAACUUUCUUGGGAGACAAGAUGGACGUGAUAGUAACCACAUGCAACCAAGCCAUCGCCAGGAAGAUCUGUACCGUUGAGCCUUACAGGCUAAAUCCGCUAAGUGAUGAAACAUGCUGGGAGAUAAUCAAGAAAUCAAUCCGUUUCGAAGUAGGAGAAGAGUUGGAGAAGAUUGGACGGAAGAUCGCAAGCAAAUGCUGGGGUGUGCCAUCAAUAGCUCGCGAAUAUGCAGGCACGCUAGAUUCUUCCCGAGAUGCUAUGAAAUGGGAAGAAACCAUGAGAAGGGGUAUCGUUUCUUAUGUCCUUUCAACUUUCACGCUAAGCUACAUGAGAAUGCCACCAGAUUUGAGGCUAUGCUUUGCUUAUUAUUGUCAAAUCUUCCCAAGCGGGGACAGUAUAGUCAAAGAUGACCUGGUUCAUCACUGGAUUGCUCUCCACCUCAUUGAGCCAUCAGAAAUAUUGUCUGCCGAACAGAUAGCUGAGGAGCAUAUUACCUGGCUUCAGAACAUGUCAUUCCUUCAAACUGCAGAGUUGGACCACGCCAGUGGAAAAGAGGGUAAGGGUGCAAUCUUGUUUACUAUGCACAAUCUGGUGCAUGACUUCGUGGCAACGUUGCUAAAUAGUCCAACACACUAUCGAAGGUUCAAUUAUAUUGGGAAUCCUACUAAUAAAAACCACGUUAGCGAUCUAAGGGCGAUUCGCUAUGUAGGUUGUACAAAACUGGAGUUUACGGGCAACUUAUUUUCACAUACUACGUGGCUACGUGUCCUGGAACUAACGGAGAGCUCCGUGCUGAAGCUACCGAACUCCAUCUUCUGGAAACUGAAGCACCUGGGGCAUCUUAAGAUAUCAGAAUUCUCUGGACUCGUAACUCUGCCUGAGUCAUUGGGGGAUCUUACAAAUCUGAUCCACGUCGACUUAUCAGGCUGCUCCGGGCUAUUGAACCUACCAAAGUCAUUUGGGAAGCUAAUCCGUUUAGUGCAUGCCAACUUGUCGGGCUGCUCUGGGCUUGCAACACUUCCUGAAUCUUUUGGUGAUCUCAUAAACUUGUCCCAUGUCAAUCUGUCACGGUGCCAUGGAUUGGCAGAGCUUCCGGAACCGCUCCAGAAGCUCGACAAACUGGUCCAUCUGGAUUUAUCAUUCUGGUCUUGCUUUCAAGGGAUCGGAAAAGGCCUUGGUGGCCUCACCACUCUGGAGCAUUUGAACUUGUCAAACCCUUGUUGUCAUCUUGCUCAACACCGGUCUCAUCUCCAGGAGCUAAAGGAUGGUUUAUGCAAGCUCACCAAACUCCGGUAUCUGUACUUGUCUAUGUGCCUGAAUCCUAUCUGUUACUACCACCAGUCACAAGAGGACAGUCUCAAAUACCUUGGAGAGUGUGUCGACGGUCUUUCCGGCCUAGAGCAUCUGGAUCUGUCUCAUAACACAUUUAUUUUUGCUCUGCCUGCAAGUCUAGGUGACCUCAACCAGCUGCACACACUGAACAUCUCAGGCUGCAUCAGACUUAAGAAGGUUGCUGAAAUGAAGUCUCUCAAGUUUAUAGAUCUGAGGAACUGCCGGGGCCUAGAGAGUUGCCACUUUGCGGUUCGCAUUGUCGAUGAUGACGAUGUGUAUAGCAGCAGCAACAUUGUUCAGCUGGAGGUGGUAAAUUGUCAAGAACUCCAGAUAAGCUGCCUAGAAAAGGUCAAGUCUAAAGAGGAAGCACAAAGAAUCAAAUUGGCGAAGAAACGAAAUAUUGAAAAGUUGAAGCUUUCUUGGACUUUGGACACUGUCGGGCGAGUGGAGGACAACGUUUUGUUGGGGGAAUUAGUGCCACCACCUAAUCUGCAGUGCCUUGAGGUUAAUGGCUACGCUGGCACAUGUCUCCCGGAGUACUUGGGUGAGCUCACCUCUCUCCAGCAACUCAAGAUCGUCCGCUGCAAGCAGCUCAACUCGUUGCCGGAUACAAUGCAGAAACUCACCAGCCUCAAGGAUCUGUGUAUUUUUGACUGUCCAGAAUUGGAGAAGUGGUGUCAGGUUGAGGAGAACAAGAAAAUGCUGGCGCACAUCCCCAACAAAAGUUAUGAGGAACCUGCUACUACUAGCAGGCAGGAGAUUGAGGAGGACGACAGAUCGGGCAACGAGGGGGAGGCGGCGUAG
rnacentral:rRNA from 1 species